rnacentral:lncRNA from 1 species
AGACAUCGGGGGGAGAGAGAAGAAGGCGCAGCAGCUGCGGCAUCGACCGUCGAGGCGCGCGGCGAAGCCGACAGAGGGUGCUGCUGGCGCCGGCCAGUCCAGCAACAGCAGCGGCAACGUUAGCAGCAGCAAGAAAAAAAAAGGGCGCUGUGGCUGUCGGCGCCGUUCCGGCCAUUUCCGACGUCCUUUGGCGGCAAGGUCGAUCUUGUUUUGACCGGUGAGUUGAGGGCUUCC